rnacentral:rRNA from 1 species
AGUCACUGCUAUCUGAAUCCGACUAAGGCAUGCAAGUCUUGGGUUAAACCAAGGCGCACAGCUCAGUAACACGUAGUCAAUCUGCCUUAGGCCUUGUCUAAUCCCGGGAAACUGGGGCCGAGGACAGGAUAAGUAAGGGAUGCUGGAAUGCACUCUUACUGAACUAAGGAUGAGACUGCGGCCUAUCAGGUUGUUGUCAGGCUAAAGUCCUGACAAGCCUUUGACGGGUACGGGCCUUGAGAGAGGAAGCCCGGAGAUGGAUUCUGAGACAAAAAUCCAGGUCCUACGGGGCGCAGCAGCUGCGAAAAUUUCGCAAUGGGCGUAAGCCUGACGAAGGGAUUUAGAGUGCCUUCUCCACAUGGAGGGGGCUUUUGCCAAGUCUAAAUAGCUUGGUGAAUAAGUGGUGGGUAAUACGGGUGCCAGCCGCCGCGGUAAUACCCGAGCCACGAGUGGUGACCACGAUUAUUGGGCUUAAAGCGUUCGUAGCCGGUUUAGAAAGUUUCUGAUGAAAUCCUGCAGUCAACUGCAGGGCUUGUCAGGGAUACUACUGAACUUGGGACCGGGAGAGGCCGAGGGUAUUCCUGGGGUAGGAGUAAAAUCCUGUAAUCCCAGGAGGACCACCUGUGGCGAAGGCGCUCGGCUAGAACGGAUCCGACGGUGAGGGACGAAAGCUAGGGGAGCGAAGCGGAUUAGAUACCCGCGUAGUCCUAGCCGUAAACGAUGCCCACUAGACAUUGGCAACCUCAAGUGGGUUGCCAGAGUCGUAGGGAAACCGUUAAGUGGGCCGCCUGGGGAGUACGGUCGCAAGGCUGAAACUUAAGGGAAUUGGCGGGGGAGCACACAAGGGGUGGAGGCUGCGGUUU